GACGAACGCUGGCGGCGCGCUUAACACAUGCAAGUCGAGCGAUGAAACUUUAACAGAACCCUUCGGGGCGAAGAUAAAGUGGAUUAGCGGCGGACGGGUGAGUAACACGUGAGUAACCUGCCUUAGACAUGGGGAUAGCCUCGGGAAACCGGGAUUAAUACCAAAUAAAAUCAUAAUGACACAUGUCAUAACGAUCAAAACUCCGGUGGUCUAGGAUGGACUUGGGUCCCAUUAGCUAGUUGGUAGAGUAAAAGCCUACCAAGGCGACGAUGGGUAGCCGGCCUGAGAGGGUGAGCCGACACAUUGGCACUGAGAAGCGGUCCAAACUCCUACGGGAGGCAGCAGUGGGGAAUAUUGCACAAUGGAGGGAACUCUGAUGCACCGACGCCGCGUGAACGAAGAAGGCUUUCGAGUCGUAAAGUUCUUUUAUAUGGGAAGAUAAUGACGGUACCAUAAGAGAAAGCCCCGGCUAACUACGUG
rnacentral:rRNA from 1 species